rnacentral:rRNA from 1 species
AACGAACGCUGGCGGCAGGCUUAACACAUGCAAGUCGAGCGCCCCGCAAGGGGAGCGGCAGACGGGUGAGUAACGCGUGGGAAUCUACCCAUCUCUACGGAAUAACGCAUGGAAACGUGUGCUAAUACCGUAUACGUCCUUCGGGAGAAAGAUUUAUCGGAGACGAAUGAGCCCGCGUUGGAUUAGCUAGUUGGUGGGGUAAAAGCCUACCAAGGCGACGAUCCAUAGCUGGUCUGAGAGGAUGAUCAGCCACACUGGGACUGAGACACGGCACAGACUCCUACGGGAGGCAGCAGUGGGGAAUAUUGGACAAUGGGCGCAAGCCUGAUCCAGCCAUGCCGCGUGAGUGAUGAAGGCCCUAGGGUUGUAAAGCUCUUUCACCGGUGAAGAUAAUGACGGUAACCGGAGAAGAAGCCCCGGCUAACUUCGUGCCAGCCGCCGCAGUAACAC